AGUUUGUUGGUAGGGUAAUGGCCUACCAAGACUAUGAUCAAUAGCUGAUUUGAGAGGAUGAUCAGCCACAUUGGGACUGAGACACGGCCCAAACUCCUACGGGAGGCAGCAGUGGGGAAUCUUGCACAAUGGAGGAAACUCUGAUGCAGCGAUGCCGCGUGAGUGAAGAAGGCCCUUGGGUUGUAAAGCUCUUUCGUCGGGGAAGAAAAUGACUGUACCCGAAUAAGAAGGUCCGGCUAACUUCGUGCCAGCAGCCGCGGUAAUACGAAGGGACCUAGCGUAGUUCGGAAUUACUGGGCUUAAAGAGUUCGUAGGUGGUUGAAAAAGUUGGUGGUGAAAUCCCAGAGCUUAACUCUGGAACUGCCAUCAAAACUUUUCAGCUAGAGUAUGAUAGAGGAAAGCAGAAUUUCUAGUGUAGAGGUGAAAUUCGUAGAUAUUAGAAAGAAUACCAAUUGCGAAGGCAGCUUUCUGGAUCAUUACUGACACUGAGGAACGAAAGCAUGGGUAGCGAAGAGGAUUAGAUACCCUCGUAGUCCAUGCCGUAAACGAUGUGUGUUAGACGUUGGAAAUUUAUU
rnacentral:rRNA from 1 species